UUUUUGGCUCUGUCGUACAGGGAUUGAUACUUUUCUAACUCUAGCUGCUCUUUUUGGCUAUUUGGGUUCUGUUGAGUGCAUUGGUCUUCUAUUGCUUCAUCUGUAUAUUUUGGUUCUGCAUGGGUUUUCUAUAACACUGGACUAUCUAUAUUAUUCUCUGAUGUAUUGGUGUCCUACCUGAGGCGAGGGUCAAUAGUUGCAUGUUUAAUUUUUAUUAUUAUUUUUUAAAAUGUUCUUGCUUUUUUUUUUAAGAAAAAUUCUUUUUAGGUGUUUGUAUUUGUGUGUGUUCUUUAAUGCAUGUAAAGGCCUGUGUUAUAUGCACAGUCAGUCCCAAGCCUGGAUAAAACACAGUCAGUCCCAAUACCGGAUAAAAGAGGAGAGUUGCACUACAUCAAAUUUGAUUAAGGCUGCCCUCAUUUAUUUUCUGGAUCAGCUUGGAAUUAAUUUUUUAGUGAACUGAUAAGUUACAUCGAUGGGUAACGCUGUACCGUUGCCUCCAUCUGUGGCUGGUCUUGAUUUUUCAGUGAAAAAAGCUGCCUCAAUACAACAAAGUAAGGCUUUGUUGUUAUGAUUUCAAGUUAGAGACUGCUUAUAGAAUGAGAAAUGAGCUUUGUUGAUCUUGUUAUUACUUUCUUGAAUCCGUUAUUAGAGACCGUCUCAGGGCCUCUUCGACAUAUGAGAAAUUCAAUGCUACAAUUUUAAGUCUAUGUUUAAUGUGAUGUAAUGUAUGGAACAUAAUAGUAAUA
rnacentral:misc_RNA from 1 species